rnacentral:rRNA from 1 species
AAUAGAUACCCGGGUAGUCCACGCCGUAAACGAUGUCGACUUGGAGGUUGUUCCCUUGAGGAGUGGCUUCCGGAGCUAACGCGUUAAGUCGACCGCCUGGGGAGUACGGCCGCAAGGUUAAAACUCAAAUGAAUUGACGGGGGCCCGCACAAGCGGUGGAGCAUGUGGUUUAAUUCGAUGCAACGCGAAGAACCUUACCUACUCUUGACAUCCAGAGAACUUAGCAGAGAUGCUUUGGUGCCUUCGGGAACUCUGAGACAGGUGCUGCAUGGCUGUCGUCAGCUCGUGUUGUGAAAUGUUGGGUUAAGUCCCGCAACGAGCGCAACCCUUAUCCUUUGUUGCCAGCGGUCCGGCCGGGAACUCAAAGGAGACUGCCAGUGAUAAACUGGAGGAAGGUGGGGAUGACGUCAAGUCAUCAUGGCCCUUACGAGUAGGGCUACACACGUGCUACAAUGGCGUAUACAAAGAGAAGCGAUCUCGCGAGAGCAAGCGGACCUCAUAAAGUACGUCGUAGUCCGGAUUGGAGUCUGC